rnacentral:rRNA from 1 species
CGGGUAAGAAAGUUGUGAAAGCAACCUGACGGUACCAGAGGAAUCAGCAUCGGCUAACUCCGUGCCAGCAGCCGCGGUAAGACGGAGGAUGCAAGCGUUAUCCGGAAUGAUUGGGCGUAAAGCGUCCGCAGGUGGCAGUUCAAGUCUGCUGUCAAAGACCGGGGCUUAACUUCGGAAAGGCAGUGGAAACUGAACAGCUAGAGUAUGGUAGGGGCAGAGGGAAUUCCUGGUGUAGCGGUGAAAUGCGUAGAGAUCAGGAAGAACAUCGGUGGCGAAGGCGCUCUGCUGGACCAUAACUGACACUCAGGGACGAAAGCUAGGGGAGCGAAUGGGAUUAGAUACCCCAGUAGUCCUAGCCGUAAACGAUGGAUACUAGGUGUUGUCUGUAUCGACCCGGACAGUGCCGUAGCUAACGCGUUAAGUAUCCCGCCUGGGGAGUACGCACGCAAGUGUGAAACUCAAAAGGAAUUGACGGGGGCCCGCACAAGCGGUGGAGUAUGUGGUUUAAUUCGAUACAACGCGAAGAACCUUACCAGGGUCGACGCGGCCG